rnacentral:misc_RNA from 1 species
GAUGAAGAACGUAGCGAAAUGCGAUAAGUAGUGUGAAUUGCAGAAUUCAGUGAAUCAUCGAAUCUUUGAACGCACAUUGCGCCCCUUGGUAUUCCAUGGGGCAUGCCUGUUCGAGCGUCAUUUGUACCUUCAAGCUCUGCUUGGUGUUGGGUGUUUGUCUCGCCUCUGCGUGUAGACUCGCCUUAAAACAAUUGGCAGCCGGCGUAUUGAUUUCGGAGCGCAGUACAUCUCGCGCUUUGCACUCAUAGCGACGACGUCCAAAAGUACAUUUUUACACUCUUGACCUCGGAUCAGGUAGGGAUACCCGCUGAACUUAAGCAUAUCAAUAAGCGGAGGA